CUAAGAAUAUUCCGCAAUGGACGAAAGUCUGACGGAGCGACGCCGCGUGGAUGAUGAAGGCCGGAAGGUUGUAAAAUCCUUUUAUGACUGAGGAAUAAGUGAAGUGAGGGAAACGCUUCAUGGUGACUGUAGGUCAUGAAUAAGCAACGGCUAAUUACGUGCCAGCAGCCGCGGUAACACGUAAGUUGCGAGCGUUGUUCGGAAUUAUUGGGCGUAAAGGAUAUGUAGGCGGUUCUGCAAGUCUGGUGUGAAAUGCCGGGGCUCAACCCCGGAACUGCGUUGGAAACUGCAGGACUUGAAUCGCUGAGGGGCAGCCAGAAUUCCAGGUGUAGGGGUGAAAUCUGUAGAUAUUAGGAGGAACACCAGUGGCGAAAGGCGGAUUGCUGGACG
rnacentral:rRNA from 1 species